rnacentral:lncRNA from 1 species
GGCCAGCUGAGGCCCACCUCCGGCUGCGGGAUUUUGUCGCUGCGUUGAGGGCCCAUUGGUUGUUUCCAGUUGUUUGCUGGUCUUUAGUAGGGUUGUUGUUUCUUUGACAUUUUCUCUAUUUCCAUUCCCAAUUUUAUGCUUACUUGUAUUGGCACUGUUAAUUAUUAAAACCUUUAAAAAUUUUAAUCUCGGUUUUAGUUUAUUUUAUCUUUUUUUUUUAUUGUGUUCGUAUUCUUAAAAUUGAAUGUUCCCUUGUUUUUAUUUAAUCUUCUUUCUUCAUUUUUUAUUCAAAUUUUUUAAAAACCAUGCAACAUGGACUACUUGCUUAUGUUAUGUAAUCUCUGAAGGAAGGGUUAAUUACACUUCAGGAAAUAUGUAUUCAAAAGGGAAAUAUCUCAAAGUACUUUCUUGUGCCUCUGAAGUAUGUCAUAUUAAUUGGACUGUUUCUUCCUUAUUUGGUCAAGAUAUAUAUAAAAAUCAUAAUUCUACCUGGGGAUUUUUUGGUGAUGGCGUGUUUUCAGCAUCAAGCUUUACAUCCGUAUCAAUAAUUAGAAACAUUAACAGUGAGAUGUACAUU